rnacentral:lncRNA from 1 species
GGCAGCUCUAUCGGGUAGCUGCUGAGAGAUUGGUCACCGCUCAUCCACACCUUGCAGAUAGGGUCGGUUGCAGCCUGGAAUCAUGGGUGAUGGCCCUGAGGAACAAGUUCCAACAACACAGGAAAAAAGCUACAAAACUGCUCGGAGGAAAUGCUAAUUCGAAAGAAAUGCUGUCUGCCAAAGCAAAUGCAGGCACCAUCUGAAGAAGUGGCAAACAACAAAUUGUGCCGUCUUUUUGACUGCAGCCAUCUUACUACAUAUGGAGAAACCGUUGAGUCCUUGCGAAUUCAUAACGAAAGGCUCCAGAAUAAUGCAGCCUGCCACGAUGAAGCAACAGGAAGGCCAAGGUUGUGGGCAACAGCACUGGACAGGCAUAAAGAGCUUCGCAGCCUCACCCUGUCGGAUGCUCUUUUACUGUUUCCAUUUCUUGGAACUGAGGCAUUGGAACAAGCCCUGCUCACACCUUGCCUUGUGGAGAAAGAAGGACUUACUCUACACAUUGACGGGGAGCCCGUUUUGAGUGUGCCAUCACUUCUUGCAGGAAUGGCGUGCCUGUUUGCAUCGUUUUGGGUAUUUCAUGUGGAAUACCCAAAAAAAGGCACACAAAAUGCUCGCAUUCCUUGAGCACGCGUUCCUACACCUUUCACACAUGAAGCCGAGUGUCAAAGCU